rnacentral:lncRNA from 1 species
UUGAACACACGAACUUGUUUAGAAAUUCCAACAAGAAACAUAUUAGAAAAAAGAUAAAAUUAACUCACCACACGAAUUAUAUUUCACUAGUUUAUUAAACACACAUGUUGAUUUGACAAAACCGAGCAUACCAAAAUGCAAAGGUUCAUACUUCAAGAGUAUUAAUCGGGAAUGCAAAUCACUACAUGGAAAUUUCCCACAAAAACUCAAAGAUUGUUCAUGAAGAACACAAUUGCACAUAUCAUGUGAAGAUCUUUUAACAUGGAUGCCAAACAAAGAAUUUUUAACGAACAUGCAACUUUUCAAACAGGCAGAUUUAUCACAAAUC